rnacentral:tRNA from 1 species
GCGGGAGUGUCCGAGUUGGUCAAAGGAGCUGGGCUUAGGACCCAGUGGCGUAGGCCUGCAUGGGUUCGAAACCCAUCUCCCGCACCA